GACGAACGCUGGCGGCGUGCUUAACACAUGCAAGUCGAACGGAAAGGCCCUGCUUUUGUGGGGUGCUCGAGUGGCGAACGGGUGAGUAACACGUGAGUAACCUGCCCUUGACUUUGGGAUAACUUCAGGAAACUGGGGCUAAUACCGGAUAGGAGCUCCUGCUGCAUGGUGGGGGUUGGAAAGUUUCGGCGGUUGGGGAUGGACUCGCGGCUUAUCAGCUUGUUGGUGGGGUAGUGGCUUACCAAGGCUUUGACGGGUAGCCGGCCUGAGAGGGUGACCGGCCACAUUGGGACUGAGAUACGGCCCAGACUCCUACGGGAGGCAGGAGUGGGAAAUAUUGCACAAUGGGCGGAAGCCUGAUGCAGCAACGCCGCGUGCGGGAGGACGGCCUUCGGGUUGUAAACCGCUUUCGCCUGUGACGAAGCGUGAGUGACGGUAAUGGGUAAAGAAGCACCGGCUAACUACGUG
rnacentral:rRNA from 1 species